ACAUGCCUAUAGCAUAGUGUUAAUGCAUUAGAUCCCAUUAGAACUUUGCAGUUAAGCACACUCAAGCUAGAGUAGUACUGGGAUGGGUGAAUGCUCAGGAAGUCCUAGUGUUUUACAUGCC
rnacentral:rRNA from 1 species